rnacentral:lncRNA from 1 species
CUUGGAAUGGAUAUUCAGACUUAUUUUCUGUUGCUGUUUUUUGUUCUUCCUUCACUUGUUCAUCCUUCUAUUCCCAGUUUUUCUUAAACUUAUGAGUCAAAAACUUUUAUAUUUACUUUCCACCUUUUUUUAACCUAUUGCUUUUUGCUCUUUCCUGCUCUCAUGACUUUCUUCCAGCUAGUUCACAACUUUUCUUUGAUUCAUGCACCAACCUCUAACUCUCAUCUCGAUCUACUCUUGUCCUAUGGCCCAUCUUAGCACGAGAAACAUGUCUCGCCUGAGUCAUGAUUUAUACCUGUCAGAAGGCAUGACUCUUAAGGAUCUUUGACCUGAUGAACUUAACUUUCGUGACCUACUAGGAUCACUUGUACAAGGGUAUCAGGAAAUCUCAUCCUCUAACAGAUUCGUGCCUACUUCCUGGAUACGCUAUAACUAUCUGAAUCUUUCCCUUUAUUUCUUUGAUCACACGUUUACAGGACACCUAUUAAGCGCCAACCCCUGAACAGGGCAGCAAGUUUACAUAAAUAAAUAAGGGAGAGUUCUAGCUCUGAAAGUACUCACAGUCUGCUAUUGAUUGAUUUCAGUCACAGCCUACGAAUAUAUAGGACCCAUGAAGAUCUCUGCUGGUGACCAUCCUCUCUUGCCACCUCUACACGCCUUAUUCCUACUUACCUUUUCACCUUAUUUGCUACAUUCUCCAGGAAGCCUUCCUGACUCCUCUUUUCUCCGUUCCUAAAGUUGUUUGGUGCCCUUCCUUGAGGCUUCCAAAUCAUACUGAACUUUCUCCAUUUUAUCACAUUUCACCACAGUGUAUUGUAGUUGCGUCCUUCUCUAGACCAGAAGGUCUGUGAGGACAGGAGCAGAUCUCCAUCAUUUGAGUGGCAUAGGAGACACUCAAAAAAUAUUAUUAUCUCAAUGAAUAGACACAUAUAGGUGUAUAUUAUGUACAAGUAAAUAAAAGAGGCAAAUAGAACAGUUAGAAAGAUAAAAAAUACACCUCCUAGUGAAAAUAUUAAGAGUGUCACAGUAGAAUAACUUGAAGUAUGUAGCCUUGAAGUGUGUUCCAAUGGUUAUUUCGCAAAAAUGUUGCCAGUUCUAAUCCAAAGUACCUUUGAAGUAUUUUGUUUUGAAGAAGAAGAAGAAGAAGAUUAGCCCUGAGCUAACAUCUGCUGCCAAUCCUCCUCUUUUUAGCUGAGGAAGACUGGCCCUGAGCUAACAUCUGUGCCCGUCUUCCUCUACUUUAUAUGUGAGACGCCUACGACAGCAUGGCUUGCUAAGCGGUGCCAUGUCCACACCCGGGAUCCAAACUGGUGAACCCCGGGCCUCUGAAGUGGAACGUGUGAACUUAACUGCUGCGCCACCGGGCUGGCCCCAAAAGCAACUGAUGGAUAUGCAAACUCUGUCUUGUUUGGUUGAGAUUUAAUUGACUUCCUUCUCCACUGUGGAAAAAGUAGUUUCAUUACCUACCUGUAAAUUGGACUGGAUCCUGCUACCUUGCACAAGUUGUCAACCCUUACCAAAUUUGCAAUUCUUCCAGUUCCUUUGCCAUCUGGCUGCUGUCCUCCAACGCAUGUUUCCACAUUUCUCCUUCCUUCCUAACUUGGCACCACCAAGAAGAAAAACCUGACUGCGCAGAUCCUUAUAGAGACUCUACGUUAUUUAUUGCUGGCCUUUCCCUCCAGGAUCUGAAGAAACACUGAGAGCUAAAGCCUGUCGACAUGGUAUCAACCCUGAAAGACGUAUCACCACAGAAGAACAUGCAUGGGCUGGAUUUCUCCCUGAACAAGUCACUGUGUGGACCACUAAGGAAGUUUUGUGAAACGCUUGAGUUGUGCAUGUCCUUAUACAAGAAGUAACCAAGACUAGACAUCACUAAGAGCACUGAUGUCUUAACUUCAAGAAACUCAAUGAGCUGUGCUCCAUAAUCAAGAGUUCCAUCCACCAACCCUUGGAAUCCACUGGACUGAAUAUUCUCAGAGUUUAACUCCUGGCUCUUCACUUUAACCUAACUUUUUAUAUUAAUAUUUCUAUUUUUCAUUUAAGCCCUCUCCCGUUUAACAGGACUGAUCUCCAGGGUUCUAAGACAACUGACCUUGCCAUUACUUCUCAGUAGAGGAUUCAAUUAAUUUUGCAGGUACAACUCCAACAGGAGUCCUCACAAGAGUAUUUCUUAGACCCCGGUUCAUCUCACUGUGGAGAUUCAUGGUCACCUCUGAGUUGUUCAGCAGUGAAUGAUAUUCAUUUUUCUUGAACAAAAAGGUAGAGGGGACUGACAAUGUUGAACUUUACCUGAGCUCCAGAAAAUAGUGAAGGCUAAGAGAUCUCCCCAAAAUCUCCCACAAUUUUGUGUUCUGGAAAACAGCCUAUUGAAAAGAACCACCCUCCCGCAUAUGACUUAGAUGAGACUUGCUGUCCACUCUUUCUCGUGAGUCCUAGAAGACUCCUGGAGGUCUCCCUUGUUUACCUGUAACAAGGACAAAUAUAGACUUUUCCCCUUUUGCCUGAAACUGCUGACAUAACCAGACACAAAUCUGUCUCCUUUCACUCCUAACCAAUUCUCUAUUCUUUGUCUCAUGAGUGAUUAGCUAAGAUUAGAACUGUUUGUCCUCCUGAAACUAGCUAGACUCAGAGACAAACAUUUCCCAUUCAGCUAAUCACUGAAUUUCCCCUGAUGGCAAUUCAAUCCUAACCAUAAAUCCCCUUACUUGUAACUUGUCUGCUCCUCCUUGUAAAAGUCUAAGGCCAAACGACCUUCCAAGACACUCUGAUCUUUGCAUCUAGGGGGAGAAGGGGCUCUUCCUAUUGUAAUAGCCUGAAUGAAAUCAUCUCUUUAAUUGUCUGAUUCACUUUGUCUUAUGCAGUACCAAGGGGAAUUACCCAGGUGGCGUAGGGGAGUGGGUGCCAGGGGCAGUUGCAUUCCCUUUCUUUUCCACUUUCUAGACAAGUGAAAAAAUGGAGGCAAACAGCUAUCAUCUUAUAGAACUGUUAGGUAAGACUACAAGAGACACUGAUAUAUUCUGUUUGAGUAAUUUCUACUUUAGAGAAAUGGAAAACAGGCAGUUAUAUGUUUUUAAAGAAAUUUACAUUGUUCAGUUAUAGUGAAUAUUCCCAUUGACAAAAUAAAGAUUGUUUUAUUAUUUUUAAAUGCAUUUCAUUUAGUGCAUGCC